AAGGUCUUAGCCAACAGAAUGAGGGGAGUCAUGAACCGGGUCAUAUCCAAUCCGCAAAAUGCUUUUGUCAAAGGUAGACAUAUUUUGGAUUCGGUGCUUAUUGCCAAUGAAUGCUUGGACAGCCGUCUCAGAUCCGGGGACCCCGGCCUCUUGUGUAAGUUGGAUAUGGAGAAGGCUUACGAUCACAUGAACUGGAAGUUUCUACUUUAUUUAUUAAGAAGGUGUGGAUUCGGCGACAAAUGGUGCUCUUGGAUUGAGCAUUGUAUCUCGUCCGUGCGGUUCUCGGUGUUGAUCAAUGGUUCGCCCUCCGGUUUCUUUGUGAGCUUGCGUGGGGUUAGACAAGGUGACCCUCUAUCGCCUUUUUUGUUCAUUUUGGUCAUGGAGGCUUUUAGUAGGAUGAUCAAUGCCUCCAUCAGUAGGGGCUUCAUCAAUGGGUUCUAUGUGGGUGCCAGGGAGCAUGAGCGGGUUUCGAUCUCCCAUCUUUUUUUUGCUGAUGAUACUUUGGUGUUUUGUGGGGCAGAACCGGAACAUGUUAGAUUUAUUAAAGCCCUCAGUAUAGGCUUCGAGGCGGUUUCCGGGCUAAAGAUUAAUCGGGCCAAGUCUGUUUUGGUCCCAGUCGGAGAUUCAGUUGAGACGGAUGAGUUGGCCGGCGUCUUGGGUUGUGGCACUAGCUCGCUUCCCUUGAAGUAUUUGGGUCUUCCGCUAGGGGCUUCCUUCAAGCAGUUGGCUGUUUGGGAUGAUAUGGUGGAGAAAAUUGCUAGAAGGUUGGCCUCUUGGAAGCGUUCUUAUUUGUCCAAGGGGGCGAGGCUCACUCUCAUCAAGAGCACCUUAUCCAACCUUCCCACCUAUCUUCUGUCCCUGUUUCCCAUCCCUAUCUCCGUGGCGAAUCGCAUUGAGAAGAUUCAACGGGAUUUUUUAUGGGGAGGUUUCAAGGAUGAGCCCAAAUUCCAUUUGGUCAGUUGGCACGAGGUUUGUUCUCCGAUUGCUGAGGGAGGUCUAGGGAUUCGGAGCUUGCGCCUUUUCAACCAAGCCCUCUUGGGGAAAUGGUUAUGGAGAUUUGCAAAUGAAGAAGAAGCUUGGUGGAGAAGUAUCUUGGUGGCUAAGUAUGGGGUGGUUUGGGGUGGUUGGCGUUCAAAUGUUCCUUGUGGAACGCAUGGGGUGGGGUUAUGGAAACACAUUUGUGGGGUUUGGAGGUCGUUUCGGUGCCACUUCAGAUUAGUUCCCGGUUUGGGGGGGAAGGUCAAAUUUUGGGAGGAUUGUUGGUGCGGCGAGGCGCCUCUCAAAGAUGUUUUUCCGGGCCUUUUUAAUAUAGCCCGCAACAAGGAUGCCUCCAUUGCGGAUAUCCGGGAGUGUGUAAAUGGGAUGGUGCACUGGAACGUUACUUUUACCCGUAGUAUCCAUGAUUGGGAGGAGAUGGCCUUAGCCUCUUUCUUCUCGCUCUUGUAUUUGUCUCCGAUCCGGGGGGAAGGGGUUGACCGAAUGUGGUGGAUUCCUUCAAGUAAAGGGAAGUUCGAGGUCUGUACUUUCUACAGGAGGCUUGCCCUUAAGGAGCCUAACCAGUUCCCAUGGAGAAGGAUUUGGCGUACUAAGGCUCCUUUGCGAGUGGCGUUUUUUGCUUGGUCGGCCGCUCUUGGGAAAUCUCUCACACUGGAUAAUGUUCGGAAGAGAGGUAUUGUUGUGAUUAAUCGUUGCUGUAUGUGUGAGGCGGAUGGGGAGUCUGUGGAUCAUCUCUUCCUUCAUUGUGGGGUCGCGCGCAAGUUGUGGGAGGUCAUCUUCUCUCGCUUUAACUUGAGUUGGGUUAUGCCUAGAAGCGUCAUGGAGAUGUUUGCCAGUUGGUGGGCGGGAGGUAGAACUAGUAGUGCUGUGGUUUGGAAGAUGGCUCCCUUGUGUCUCCUAUGGUGUCUUUGGAAGGAAAGGAAUGCGAGAUGUUUCGAGGAUUUGUCGAGGAACCUAGAGGAUCUUAUUCACUUCUUUUUGUACACUUUAUUCACAUGGACAGCAGGAUGGCUUGCUCCUUUAGUGAUUGAUUUUUCUGAUUUUCUCUUUAUGUUCUCUUCUUCUUUCUCCCCUACUUAGUCGCUCUCUUGUAUACUUCCUGUGUACUAGGGUUGCGCCCCUCUGCGCUCUGAAUGCAUUAUUACUUAUCAAAAAAAAAAAAUAAUCUUUCGAAGCAGUAUGUCAAUGUGAUUGGUAGCUGAUGUAUGUAUAAAAAGAAUGGAAAGUCUAUGGAUCAUCUCCUUCUCCAUUGUGAGGUUGUUUGUGCCUUAUGAAAUAUCUUUUUCAUUCGCUUUGAGCUGUUUUGGGUUAUGCCUAACGGUGGAGAUGACUUGUUCGCUUGUCGAUGGACUUCUAGUGACAUUAGGAGUGUCGAUGUAUGGAAGAUUAUACCUUAUUGCCUCUUUUGGUGUCAUUUGAGAGAAAUAAAUGACAGAAGUUUUGUGGACCACAACAAAACGGUGCAGGAGCUAGACUAAUUUUUCUUCUGUACUCUUUAUCUUAGCACAACUACUUUUGUUUAUCCUUUAGUGCUUAGUUAUUAUGAUCGUUUUGUUCUUUUUCUAUUUUCCUAACUAGUUAGGUAUUUUCUAUUGUAUGCUUUAUGUGUACUUGGGUGCGUUUUUACGCCUUAAAUAAUAUUUCGAUUACUUGUAUUGAAAAGAAUUCUUGUGUUGGAAUGUUAAUACUUUUUUCCUUUGCUGGUAGGUGUUGUUCCUCCUUUAGCAUUUCCCCUGCACAAUGCUUUUUGUUACCAUCUCUUUUUAAUUUAUUUUUUAUUUUUUUAUUUUUUUAUUUUAUUUUAUUUUAUUUUUGAACUACUUGGUUGCUAUGUUAUGUUCUGAAUCUAUUUCUAAGACACCCUCACUUAUAUUGGUUUUGUCGUUAUGGCCCUCUUGGCAAACAGAAAAGAAACUUAAACUAUAUCUUCAGUUGCCUUUAAUGUGGAGGAUUUAGAGAGAGAAAUCAGCACCUCUUUGAGGACCGCGAGUCCAAUGUGCUACAAGUAAAAUCCAAUUUUUGAGAUCUCUCUUAGACUGGGCUGUAGUCUAUGUUCCUGAUUUGUCCUCUUCAAAUAUUAUUGAUUUUGUUAACUCUUAAAUUUCAGACGCCUUUAUGGUGGUUCUCUCUUGUAUAUUUUUCGUGUUUGAGAGCUUUUCCUUUUUCUCUUAAUUUAUUAUCAACUGGGCAUUCUUGAUGUUUGUAAUAUAUGCUUGCAUGUAGUUGGUAAUUUGCUUUUAUUUGAUUUAUGUGUGUCACAGAUAUACCAAAAUGAUCUUCUUGUAUGUGAAGUCACAGAUAUACAACAUGUUUGUUCUAUGUACACACAAAUAUGUUGCGGAUGAUAUUGGCUGUUUGAGAGGUUUGAUGCAAUAUCUGGCCUCAAUACCUCCCAUAUUGUAUUAAGUAUACUGAGUUCCAUUGGAUCAACUGUAAAAUCUUGUUCACUUGAUUUAAUUGUUGUGAACUUGUGAAAUAACGAGAUAUGUUUCUGUAUGAAAAAUUUCUAGUAACCCAACUGCAGCAUUCCCCAGAGUAAAUGGACGAACAGGGUUUGGAAAUGGGCAUUGAGGAGCUUUGCAACAGUGGGACACUGAUGAUAUUUUUGGAAGCUUUCCAAUGGUAUCAAUUCUAUCAUUCUAUGUACAUGCGUUCGGACAUAAUUUAUCCUUCUAGGGUCUUCCUUUUCAAGUUGAGAUCCCUCAUCUCUUCAAGGCACAUUAAACAUUUUACAUUUAUGAAGUGUUUUUGCUAAUCAGUUGGAUCAUUGACAGCAAAAUGGUUACGCAUUACACUAUCUUUUUCGUUCCUUGUGUUU